ACGAGUUUUAAUUGUUAGGUUAGAGUUGAGCUGGUUAAUCUAAUUAAUAUGUGCUUACUCUAAUCGAAACAAGUCCACUCAUUACUUGAACACUUGUGAACUUAUUCAUUACAAACAUUAUUAUUUGUUAUUGGAACGUUUGAUUAUUAAAAAGUUAAUA
rnacentral:misc_RNA from 1 species